CACAUUUAAUAUGAUCCCAUUUUUUUUUGUUGCAGGUGUGUUCUAAAGGAAGACUAUUGAAGUAGAAGAAUAGACGUAUAUCUUGCUGUUUGAGUAGGAAUUUGAUGGGGUCAAAAUCAUGCGCCUCCCACUUUUGUAUGUCAUGAGUCCAAUUGGACACUUUUAAGAAAUUCAUUUGUCUCAUCUGAUACACAAACAGUUGUACAUGGACAUCUUCAUUGGCA